GGGCCUGUAGCGCAGUUGGGAGAGCGUCUCCAUGGCAUGGAGAAGGUCAGGGGUUCGAGUCCCCUCAGGUCCACCA
rnacentral:tRNA from 2 species